rnacentral:tRNA from 1 species
UUGUGAAAUUAUGAAUUUAAUUUUACAAUGAAAAUGUAAAGUUUUAUUUAAACUACGCAAAU